rnacentral:lncRNA from 1 species
GUCUUAUUAAUUGACUUUUGGUUUGACAUAUGUUUUGUUUUAAUUAAUUCACGUGCCAAUUUUCAUUAUUUUCAAAAUCUUUUUGGGGGAUGAUGAUGUCCUGACCCCACCUUAUUUAGUUUAAUUUUUCUUAAUUUUAUUGAUUAAUUUGCUAUUUAUUUGUUAUUUUUUAAUUUGACUUGAAUUUUCAGUUGACUUCUGUAUGAUCG